AUCCAGCUGACGAGUCCCAAGUAGGACGAAAUAAGGAUCCUUGAU
rnacentral:hammerhead_ribozyme from 1 species